AAUGUGAAUUGCAGAAUUCAGUGAAUCAUCGAAUCUUUGAACGCACAUUGCGCCCUUUGGUAUUCCGAAGGGCAUGCCCGUUCGAGCGUCAUUUCACCACUCAAGCAUAGCUUGGUAUUGGGCGUCGCGUCCGCCGCGCGCCUCGAAGUCCCC
rnacentral:rRNA from 1 species